rnacentral:lncRNA from 1 species
AAGAGUAGAAAUGGGAAGACUUGGUUGUGCAGUAACUGAGUUCUUGAAAAGAGGAGAUGCUUGAUGAGGGCAUGGAUCACUAAGGUCUGUUCCCAAUACAAGAAGACUCUUUGACAUCAUAAUAAAAUACUGCAGAUACGAUGCUGAGUGAAAAAGAGUAGAAAUGGGAAGACUUGGUUGUGCAGAAACUGAGUUCUUAAAGAGAGGAGAUACUUUAUGAGGGCAUGGAAAGCUAAGGUCUUUCCAGAAUACUACAAGAGUACUUGAUAUCAUAAUAAAACACUAUAGAUAUGAUGCUGAGUGAGUAAGAGUAGAAAUGGGAAGACUUGGUUGUGCAGAAACUAAGUUAUUAAAAGGAGGAGAUGCUUGAUGAGGCCCGACUCUUAUUCUGUCACCCAGGCUGGAGUGCACUGGAGCAAUCCUGGCUGGCCAAUACUGAGUUCUUGAAAACAGGAGAUGCUUGAUGAGGAUGGGAUCAUCUAGUUGCAGGAAAACAAGGCUCAGGGUGCCUACUGAUUCUACAUUAUGUUGCAGGGCUUUGACUCCUGGGUACAUGUAUCUCAUCUGAAAGGGAAUCCUGACGCCUACUGAAUCUUAAUAGUCAAUAUUGAUAUCUGGCAUCAAAUUCAAGUUGACCAAAGUUCCAUCUUCAGACCUGGGAGAAGAUGACAGUCAAAAUGAACUGCUUUCAUGUGACACUGGACCAGGCCUAUAUACAAAGGCAUAAGUAAUCAUUGAAUAAUGUUUCAUCUAUCUAUCUUAAUAUAAUUUGUUCUAUGCCUUACUAGAUAAAUGUUUAGUUACCUGUGAGUUUUCUUUUCCUGCCAUUGUCAGAGCUAGGCAGGGCUUAAGUCCCUUUCGUUUAAACAUUACUAACUCUAUACAUAGCUUGCAAAAUUGGAUAAAACAACAAAGGUUACUUUUUCACUCUCUCUCUGCUUAAUAUCUCUGAAAUUUAAAACUAUUCAGAAUCCCACUGGGCCCGAUCUAUUUUCAAUGCUAAUGCUCCACUGCUAAAACUAUAUAAGCAUCUUCCCUCUAGGCUCAGGCACUAUCUUGGAAGAGGUAAAUGUGUAAGAUUGUAAAGGUUGAUUUUUGAGCAACAAAAUUAAUUUAGAUCUUCCAAAUAAAAAAUGGGCACACAGAUGCCCAAACAGUUGGCAAAAUAAGAUACUUUACCUCCUGGACCAGUAUGUGGACCUUUUUCAUCCAUCCCAACCAUAAUUUCCUCUUUCCUGUAGAAUUAAAAGAAAAUUGCAAAGAGGAUAUGAACUUUUCUGGUAAGAAAACCUCCUGGGUAUAGUGCUCCCAGUUAUGAGAUUUAUGCAGAUUGUUAUAUAAAGUUUUUUUAAAUCAAGCACCUUAGGACAAACUAUUAAAAAGACUGCUAAAAGCGUUGUGACACAACAAAAGUCUCUAAAUUCUGUAGCUUAAAAAGUUUUAACAAAGUACUUAUCUUUUGCAAGCUAAUUGCUACAAGUCUAUAACUAAAACAUGUAUUGACUGAUGUCUUAGGUCUCCCUAAAAUAUAUAAAACCAAGUUGUAAACCAAUCACCUUGGACACAUGUUCUCAGGACCUCUGGAGACUGUGCCUUGGGCCAUGGUCACUCAUAUUUGGCUGAGAAUAAAAUUUU